UACGAAGGGGGCUAGCGUUGCUCGGAAUUACUGGGCGUAAAGGGCGCGUAGGCGGCCGAUCAAGUCAGGCGUGAAAUUCCCGGGCUCAACCUGGGGGCUGCGCUUGAGACUGGUUGGCUAGAGGCCGAGAGAGGGUGGUGGAAUUCCCAGUGUAGAGGUGAAAUUCGUAGAUAUUGGGAAGAACACCAGUGGCGAAGGCGGCUCACUGGCCCGGUACUGACGCUGAGGUGCGAAAGCGUGGGGAGCAAACAGG
rnacentral:rRNA from 1 species